rnacentral:lncRNA from 1 species
CCGCUAGCGCCUCGAGCGAUGCACCUCCUUUCCAACUGGGCAAACCCCGCUUCCAGCAGACGUCCUUCUAUGGCCGCUUCAGGCACUUCUUGGAUAUCAUCGACCCUCGCACACUCUUUGUCACUGAGGAAGAAGGCUGUCUUUGUUCUAAGAAUGCCUUGAACAAAGCUUCAGAGGAGGAGGUUGCCCUGCUUGACAGAGGAGAAGAAUGGUGCAUUUUGAUCCUAAAUGGAGAAAGGAGAGGGAAGGAAGAGGAGGAAAAAAACAGCGGGAAGGAGAGCAUGAUACUGAGAUGAGCUGAAAGACCAAUAAAGAAAUGCCACAAUGAGGUGUGGCUGGGGGCUCUUUUGA